GGCGAACGCUGGCGGCGUGCUUAACGCAUGCAAGUCGAACGGAAAGGCCCUGCUUUUGUGGGGUGCUCGAGUGGCGAACGGGUGAGUAACACGUGAGUAACCUGCCCUUGACUUUGGGAUAACUUCAGGAAACUGGGGCUAAUACCGGAUAGGAGCUCCUGCUGCAUGGUGGGGGUUGGAAAGUUUCGGCGGUUGGGGAUGGACUCGCGGCUUAUCAGCUUGUUGGUGGGGUAGUGGCUUACCAAGGCUUUGACGGGUAGCCGGCCUGAGAGGGUGACCGGCCACAUUGGGACUGAGAUACGGCCCAGACUCCUACGGGAGGCAGCAGUGGGGAAUAUUGCACAAUGGGCGGAAGCCUGAUGCAGCAACGCCGCGUGCGGGAUGACGGCCUUCGGGUUGUAAACCGCUUUCGCCUGUGACGAAGCGUGAGUGACGGUAAUGGGUAAAGAAGCACCGGCUAACUACGUG
rnacentral:rRNA from 1 species